CCUACGGGAGGCAGCAGUGAGGAAUAUUGGUCAAUGGACGAGAGUCUGAACCAGCCAAGGAGCGUUUCGGCGCGUAAAGCCCUAUCGGCAGGGAAGAAGAUGACGGUACCUGACCAAGAAGCCCCGGCUAACUACGUGCCAGCAGCCGCGGUAAUACGUAGGGGGCAAGCGUUAUCCGGAUUUACUGGGUGUAAAGGGGGCGCAGACGGUGUUGUAAGUCAUUAGUCAAAGACUAGAGCUCAACUUUAGUAAGGCUAGUGAUACUAUAAUACUAGAGUAUCAGAGAGGAUUGCAGAAUUCCUGGUGUAGCGGUGAAAUGCGUAGAUAUCAGGAGGAAUACCGUUAGCGAAGGCGGCAAUCUGGCUGGAAACUGACGUUGAGGCUCGAAAGCGUGGGGAGCAAACAGGAUUAGAUACCCCAGUAGUC
rnacentral:rRNA from 1 species